GUAAGCUUGGAGACCGUGGAGAUGCCCACUUCUACCACACACAAGUGAAAAGCAAUAUGAAGCGGAUCUGUGGAGAGAACCUGAGGCUGUGCAGAAAAGCAAGGAUGGGAUCAAUAGGGCUGGCAACAUAGCUUGGGUAGAACAGUUAUCUAGCAUGCACAAAGCCCUGCAUUCAGUCUCAGGAUGCAAACCUGUCAUUGGCCACAUAAUGUCUUACUUUCUUCAGCAAGUCUGAAGAAUUUCUCCAAUCUGAAGAAGUACAACUAAGACAAUCACCACAGAAGAAUGUGCAGAGUACAAUAUGGAGGUCAGAGGCAUGUCACUGGAGACCCGGGAGCUCAGAGAACUUCACAAUGAAUAGACUCCAGACUCUUGCACUAUCAACUCCCUUCCUGGGAGGAAUGCAUGCCCCUUUUCUGUUGUCCCCCUGCUGCAGACCUUCCAGCUGAGGGCCAGAAACAGAAGGUAGUUUGGAAAUAAAGUCUGCAUUAUACAGUAA